rnacentral:rRNA from 1 species
UACGUAGGUGGCAAGCGUUAUCCGGAUUUACUGGGUGUAAAGGGCGUGUAGGCGGGUGUUCAAGUCGGAUGUGAAAAGGCAAGGCUCAACUUUGCUCGGUCAUCCGAAACUGGAUAUCUUGAGUGUCUGAGGGGAAAGCGGAAUUCCUGGUGGAGCGGUAAAAUGCGUAGAGAUCAGGAGGAACACCGGCGGCGAAGGCGGCUUUCUGGCAGACAACUGACGCUGAGGCGCGAAAGCGUGGGGAGCAAACAGGAUUAGAUACCCUGGUAGU